rnacentral:rRNA from 1 species
UAGGGAAUCUUCCACAAUGGGCGAAAGCCUGAUGGAGCAACGCCGCGUGUGUGAUGAAGGGUUUCGGCUACGUAAACACUGUUGUAAGAGAAGAAUGACAUUGAGAGUAACUGUUCAAUGUGUGACGGUAUCUUACCAGAAAGGAACGGCUAAAUACGUGACAG